ensembl:snoRNA
ACGCGCUGCCUUUGAUCCCUGCCCGCCUGUGCGUGGUACUGGGUCAGGCUGCAGCACCAGAGUAGUGCUCGCACAUAACUGGGGCCGCGCCCACUACCGGGGCGGCUCCUUUAACCACGAGCGACAAUC